rnacentral:rRNA from 1 species
UGCCAGCANHMGCGGUUACACAGUUGCCUAAAGUUUAGUUAAUAGGUAAUAUGGUUAAUUGUAUAUAUAGAAGGAUAAUUAAUAGAAUUUUAGUGGUGUAAUACGUAAACUCUCUUUUUAUCUUUACCUUCUUAUUAUUGAACCCAUGAAAGUUAAUAGUGGAACUAGGAUUAGAUACCCUACUACCAUUAAGUUUAAAUAGAGAAUACCAGGGUAUUACGGAUUAUCUGUUUAAAACCUAAAGAGCUUGGCGGUUCUUCAGUACAACCAGGGGAGCCUGUCGUGUAAUCGAUAAUCCUCGUCACUUUUCACCUUUUUUUGAUUUUCAAUUAUAAUUUCAGCUUGUAUACCCCCGUCUGCAGUUUACCCUAAUAAAGGAACUUUAGUAAGCAUCAAGGAAUAAAUCUCCCUGACGUCAGGCCAAGGUGCAGCUUAUAGAAAGGAAUUAGAUGUGCUACCUUACUACCUUAUAUUGGUUAAUAGUUCAAUUUGAUGAAAAUCUAUUGUUAAAUAGUACUUGGCAGUAAUGAAAGUUUAGAAUGCUUUCAUGAAUUAUACUUGAAGAGUGCACAAAUCGCCCGUCAAUCCCGCCACUUUAGGGGGGAAAAGUCGUAACCAGUA